CUGGAAUGUUAGCAAGCUAUUUGCUGGAAAAAAUGCCCACAACAGGCCUAAUGUUGAUCACAUUAAUGCGUUUGAGUGAGUAUGGAGUGCAAAUGAUUGAAAAUGCUUCCAGAUCCCCGUUGCAAGGGACAAAGCAGGCUCUGUUCUCUGAUCUGAUGGUCAUUUUUUUUUCCAGCGGAGGAUGUGGGGCAGGAAGAGGGAAGAGGGCCAAUCUCUGUCUAAUGGUUCCAAACAGGGCCCGGGCCCGGCCCUCUGGAUGCUGACGAGUGGGAAAUGAAACACAGAUGGGUCAGAUGGGUAAGGAGAGGGGGAUUACAGGUCAGGCCAAAGAGUUGGAAUAAAUUAAGUGCUUAUGAGGUACAGAAUGGCACAUUGUUUAAGUGAAUGGACAGGGAAAAAACAUUCCAGCAUUGUUCAUCUGCCGAGGGAGCCCAACGCUCCUCUUCCCAGACGAGCCCAGGCCACAGAGCGCCUCCUCCUCGCCAGGAUGUUUGUGACCCACAGACUGAAAACGCGGCCAGGCGGUGCCCGAAACAUUCUCCCAGCCUCCAAAGAGGCCAGUUUGGCUUUAUUACACGGGAGAUGUAAUUUAUUGGGAGAAAUGUUUGGGUUCGUGUGUCGGAUGGUGGAGAGUCAGAUUUGGAGUUCCCUAGGGAUCUCCGAGGAGAAGGAGAAUUCAGGCAAAGCUGUCCAUUCGGUUGGUAACGAUACAAGCAGGAGAAUAGGACGGAAAUCCAAUUCUUCUGCUCCCUGGGGUGUGACUCUCAUACUGCAUCGCACAGCUUUCAUUUCGUGAAGAACUUGUGGGUAAGCCUUUCACCCAACCUAGGAAUUCUUUUCAGAGGAAGUCAUCAAUCCCCAAGUACCCAUUACUUCUUCUUUUCUUUUUGUCUUUCAAAACAGGUAACACAGACAGAAACAUGAGGGCUUGGGGCCACGUGGUAGGAAUUUUAUUUCCC
rnacentral:lncRNA from 1 species